GAGGAGACUGGACUCCGGGCCCCGGGGCUACAGCAUCCAGUGGACGCGGGGAUACGGGCGUUCCACAUCUGCAACCUUGUUCUGGCCACUGAUGCGGCUGGCGGAGCGCUUCUGAACAGGGCGCUCUCUCUACCACAGGACGUGUUCUCUCUGGCAGUAACAAGACGAGGAAGGAAACAAAUCGACACCGAGAGGCCUCACGCCGAGGAGGAAACAGGUACUUGUUAAAUGGCUGCCAAACCGGGCCAGCCAAGCGGUGGGCUAAGGCCGCGCCCCCAGGCGAGCCCGUCACCCGGAAGCUGGCUCCGUGCAUCCAAAGAAACAGCCACCAAAGUGAUUCGUGACAAAGUGAUGCCCGACGCCUCUCACCAGCCAAGUCUGUUCUGAGCAAGGCCCCAAGCAGGGCUGCCCGUGGGCCCAGCAGCAGCCACAGGAGAGCCAGACUGUCGGAGUCCCUGGUCCUAAGGUACAGCCGUAAACGUCUCAGAAGCAUGCUCGCUGGUCCCAAUUAUUUACUUUUCAAAGGAAGUUCUGAUUUCGUGUUCGGUUCCUGAUGUUCGUGAUGACGCUCUCUGUCGGGCUAAUCCGAUUUCCAUGCGGAGGGAGCAUCGGAGACCCGGGAGAGACACGCGGGAGCGAGCUGGGGGCCCCGCGGGAGUGUCGAGGCCCCGGUGACCUCCCACCGGCCCCCUGCCUCCGCCUCUGCGCUCCAUGUUUGCGGAGUCUGCCUUCCGGGCUCGCGCUCGUCCGCUCCGCCCUUGGUUUCGAGGGCGCUACUGGGGACGGUUUUGCCGGCCCUUGACGGGACGCCCUGGCUCCUUCCCGCGGCUGGGCCCGCGAGCGCACGCGUGGCAGGGAACCAAAAGCCCUCGGGGAAGGGCCCCGGCACAAGCUCCCCGUCUGUGAACCCCUGUUCGAGGCCAAAGGAACUCCUCGGGUUUCCGACACACAUCUUCCCAGCGUGAGCAGUUUCACACAGACUUGGGAACAUCCUUGCCUCUCUCUACUUUGCGCCUUAGCCAGUGACAACCCUUCCUUCCUUCCUGAAUGUGCUAAGGAGGCGGGAGAGAACCACGACAGCUGGCUUUCUUGUCAAAAUCCACAAAGUCGAGGCUUCUCGACGGGGUCCAAAUCCACUUCUGAAACAGGGGCUCACCUGGUGCGAACAGACCUGCCCAGAACACGCCGUCCUCCCAUGCUCGGGAAAGUGCUCAUGCCUGUGUGAGCAGCCAAGGGGCAGAAGGAGAAAGAAUCCCAAGCAGGCUCCACACUGUCAGCACAGAGCCCAACGCGGGGCUCAGUCUCAAGACCCUGGGAUCGUGACCUGAGCCAAAAUCAAGAGUCGGACACUCAACUGACCGAGCCACCUGGGUGUCCCUUAUAACGCAUUCUACCAUUAAAACAGAGAGGCAGCGGGGAGAGAAAAGUCUGAGUGUGGGCAAUGGGCACCCCCGGGACCCAGAUUAAGCUCUCUAAAUCCCAUUCCCACUCAGCUGACUGAAGACCUGGGCAGAAAACGUACAAAAUGAGAACAGAGCAUCCUGCCUGGUCACACCAGCUAGGAAAGAAGUGAUCACAAGCUACCAGGCCCAUAUCAGACAGACUCGGGAGCCAAAUCACAGAGCCCCCCGCCCCCCGCCCCCACCGGCCAAAGAGGAAACAAGGCCAAGGAGGAAACAACGUGCACGCCAACGUUUAACAAGUGUAACGGUUACGCUUUUACUGCACGCUGACUGGGACAAACACAUACCCUGCAGGUUACCUUAGGAGAAGCCCAGUCAUUAUUCUGAAAUCUGCUAAACAAAGGAAAGUAAGUAUUGGUAUUGGCUUUCCUACAUGAACUCUACCUUGAGAUACCCAAAUAAUCGGUAUGAACAUCAAUGUCUGCUAACCUCACUGAGAGAACACAACCAGUCAUCACACACAUCCUAGGGGAAGUACCCACCACCGCCUAUGAAACGCCAUGCCCCCCGAGCACCCCUCCAAUUGACCGAAUCUGCCGAAGCCUCCAGAUUGACCUAUCACAUAGAGGACAGUCAAGGGCAGGUGAGUGUGGCUUACCUAGAGCCAGGCAGGGAGAAGCAACGCGCAAAGUCCAGACAGCAAUGACCUCUACACGAGCACAUGGCCCGGUGUCUUCAACCAAUAAAUGGCAGGAAGAGACAGACACACGGAGCAGGAUGGGGGCAGGGUUCUGACUUGCAGAGAUUCUAUGGAUUAAGAGGGCACAUCAACCAACCACAAUGUAUUCACCUUACUUGAACCCUGAUUCGAAUAAAUUCCACG